rnacentral:rRNA from 1 species
CCUACGGGGGGCAGCAGUGAGGAAUAUUGGUAAAUGGCCGCAGGGCUGAACCAGCCAAGUCGCGUGAGGGAUGACGGUCCUAUGGAUUGUAAACCUCUUUUGUCAGGGAGCAAAGGGCGCCACGUGUGGCGCUUUGCGAGUACCUGAAGAAAAAGCAUCGGCUAACUCCGUGCCAGCAGCCGCGGUAAUACGGAGGAUGCGAGCGUUAUCCGGAUUUAUUGGGUUUAAAGGGUGCGCAGGCGGAAUGUCAAGUCAGCGGUAAAAUUUCGGGGCUCAACCCCGUCGUGCCGUUGAAACUGGCGUUCUUGAGUGAGCGAGAAGUAUGCGGAAUGCGUGGUGUAGCGGUGAAAUGCAUAGAUAUCACGCAGAACUCCGAUUGCGAAGGCAGCAUACCGGCGCUCAACUGACGCUCAUGCACGAAAGCGUGGGUAUCGAACAGGAUUAGAGACCCUAGUAGUC